UAAAUAAGAAAAAAAAAAAAAAAAAAGGCCCAAAAAUAAUUUGUUGUGCUAACCCAACCCAUCUUACCUAGGUUUAUGUAUAAAAACUCAAACCAAAACCCUAAUCCAGACAUCCAUACCACAUUAACCCUUGACUCCUUCUCCUGUAUGUACGCUCUCAUCUCUCUCUAUCCUUUCUAGAAGCUACGCUCACAUCUCCGGCCAACACCAUAAAAGAAACUUCUAUUUUCCGGUCAUUUUCACCAAAUCGCCCCAAAAAUAAACAUUUUCGACCACCUUUCUUACUUGUCUUCCAAAUAAUCUAACCUACCUUACAUUGCUUACAUUGAUCUUCUGGGAACUGGUAACAAAAUCACUCAAAUCUUUAACCCAUACACAUCAAUGAAGGAAUCGAUAAGACGAAUAGCCUACUAAAUCGGUGUGGAGAUGAAAAAGCAUAUUGGAUUUAGAGGAAACAACCUUCAUACGCAAAUACUGUAAGUGCGAACUCAAAUUCCUAAUUCCGCCUAUUCGCCUUUCACUCCUGCGACCAGCGACUGCGAAUCUCACCGACGGGCGACAGCGGCUGGCUACUCCACUGCUCCAUUACUCCAAUCUCCACUGCAGCACUGCUCCGUGAGAACCAAGAACCACUCCUCUAUAACUCCGUGACUCCGUGAGAGACUGUCAGACUGAGAGUUGCUCGGUUGACGACUGCUCCACUACUCUACGCCUCUAGCCCUCUACUGACUAGCCUGAAAUGCCUGAAGCGACAUUUGUUCAUUAUAGAAAGAAGCAACGAAGGAGGAAAGCGAAAGAAAAAUUAAAGACAAAUGCAGUGGACACUAGUUUUUGUAUUUUGUUCUUUUUUUUUUCUUUUUUUUUUUGGUAGAAAACUGGAAUGAUCAUUGUCUGAUCAAGUGAUUGUUUUAAGGGUCAAACAUGUUUGAUUAUCCCAGGCGAUGUCAUUAUCCCAAGAACAUGUCAUGUUUGCAUAUUAGUAAUUAGUAAUAUUAAUAAUAGUCAAGGUGUAUAAACA